rnacentral:snRNA from 1 species
AUCGCUUCUCGGCCUUUUGGCUAAGAUCAAAGUGUAGUAUAUACCGGAAGUCAUAAAAACCAAAAAUCGCAGAAAUGACAUAUAAAAUUUAGGUGCCAAUCGAGGUGAAAAUCGAUUCAAAUCGAUCAAUCGGAAGUAUCAAUUUAGUGAAUAGAUUUUCCUAUUUAUUUUU